rnacentral:rRNA from 1 species
CCUACGGGUGGCAGCAGUGGGGAAUAUUGGACAAUGGGCGAAAGCCUGAUCCAGCCAUGCCGCGUGUGUGAAGAAGGCCUUCGGGUUGUAAAGCACUUUCAGUGGGGAAGAAAGCCUUGAGGCUAAUACCCUCGAGGAAGGACAUCACCCACAGAAGAAGCACCGGCUAACUCCGUGCCAGCAGCCGCGGUAAUACGGAGGGUGCGAGCGUUAAUCGGAAUUACUGGGCGUAAAGCGCGCGUAGGCGGUCUGAUAAGCCGGUUGUGAAAGCCCCGGGCUCAACCUGGGAACGGCAUCCGGAACUGUCAGGCUAGAGUGCAGGAGAGGAAGGUAGAAUUCCCGGUGUAGCGGUGAAAUGCGUAGAGAUCGGGAGGAAUACCAGUGGCGAAGGCGGCCUUCUGGACUGACACUGACGCUGAGGUGCGAAAGCGUGGGUAGCAAACAGGAUUAGAUACCCCUGUAGUC